rnacentral:rRNA from 1 species
CGGCGGACGGGUGUAGAUAACGUCGCUAGGGAAUCUGCCUANUNGAGGGGGGACAACAUGUGNGAAACGCAUGCUANUACCNCAUACGCCCUGUGGGGGAAAGGAGGGGACUCUUCNNCAGCCUUCCGCUAUUAGAUGAGCCUGCGUGAGUAUUAUCUAGUUGGUAGGGUAAAGGCCUACCAAGGUCGACGAUCUCUAACUGGUCUAAGAGGAUGACCAGUCACACUGGGACUGAGACACGGCCCAUACUCCUACGGGAGGCAGCANUGNGGAAUAUUGGACAAUGGGCGGAAGCCUGAUCCAGCCAUGCCGCGAUGUGUGAANAAGGCCUUAUGGUUGUAAAGCACUUUCAGGGGUGANGAAGGGUGACUGNCUAAUAUCCAGUUAUCUU